rnacentral:tRNA from 1 species
GGGGUUGUGGCUCAAGUGGGAGAGUGCUCACCUAGCACGUGUGAGGCAUUGGGUUUGAUCCUCAGCAGCACAU